rnacentral:rRNA from 1 species
GAUGAACGCUGGCGGCGUGCCUAAUACAUGCAAGUCGAGCGAACAGACGAGGAGCUUGCUCCUCUGACGUUAGCGGCGGACGGGUGAGUAACACGUGGAUAACCUACCUAUAAGACUGGGAUAACUUCGGGAAACCGGAGCUAAUACCGGAUAACAUGUUGAACCGCAUGGUUCAACAGUGAAAGACGGUCUUGCUGUCACUUAUAGAUGGAUCCGCGCCGCAUUAGCUAGUUGGUAAGGUAACGGCUUACCAAGGCGACGAGGCGUAGCCGACCUGAGAGGGUGAUCGGCCACACUGGAACUGAGACACGGUCCAGACUCCUACGGGAGGCAGCAGUAGGGAAUCUUCCGCAAUGGGCGAAAGCCUGACGGAGCAACGCCGCGUGAGUGAAGAAGGUCUUCGGAUCGUAAAACUCUGUUAUUAGGGAAGAACAAAUGUGUAAGUAACUAUGCACGUCUUGACGGUACCUAAUCAGAAAGCCACGGCUAACUACGUG